rnacentral:rRNA from 1 species
AGUGAACGCUGGCGGUAGGCCUAACACAUGCAAGUCGAACGGCAGCACAGUAAGAGCUUGCUCUUACGGGUGGCGAGUGGCGGACGGGUGAGGAAUACAUCGGAAUCUACUUUUUCGUGGGGGAUAACGUAGGGAAACUUACGCUAAUACCGCAUACGACCUACGGGUGAAAGCAGGGGAUCUUCGGACCUUGCGCGAUUGAAUGAGCCGAUGUCGGAUUAGCUAGUUGGCGGGGUAAAGGCCCACCAAGGCGACGAUCCGUAGCUGGUCUGAGAGGAUGAUCCGCCACACUGGAACUGAGACACGGUCCAGACUCCUACGGGAGGCAGCAGGGGGGAAUAUUGGACAAUGGGCGCAAGCCUGAUCCAGCCAUACCGCCUGGGUGAAGAAGGCCUUCGGGUUGUAAAGCCCUUUUGUUGGGAAAGAAAAGCAGCAGGUUAAUACCCCGCUGUUCUGACGGUACCCAAAGAAUAAGCACCGGCUAACUUCGU